CCAAUAGCGUAUAUUAAAGUUGUUGCAGUUAAAAAGCUCGUAGUUGAAUUUCGGGAUCAAUUUAUUGGUCGUGCUAUUGUACGUACUGGUAUUAUUGAUUCCUACCUUCUGACGAACCAUGAUGUCAUUAAUUUGGUGUCAUGGGGAAUCAGGACUGUUACUUUGAAAAAAUUAGAGUGUUUAAAGCAGGCUCACGCUUGAAUACAUUAGCAUGGAAUAACGAAAUAGGACGUUUGAUUCUAUUUUGUUGGUUUCUAGGAUCGACGUAAUGAUUAAUAGGGAUAGUUGGGGGCAUUAGUAUUCAAUUGUCAGAGGUGAAAUUCUUGGAUUUAUUGAAGACUAACUACUGCGAGAGCAUUUGCCAAGGAUGUUUUCAUUAAUCAAGAACGAAAGUUAGGGGAUCGAAGACGAUCAGAUACCGUCGUAGUCUUAACCAUAAACUAUGCCGACUAGGGAUCGGAUGAUGUUAAUUUUUUAAUGACUCAUUCGGCGCCUUACG
rnacentral:rRNA from 1 species